UACGAAGGGGGCUAGCGUUGCUCGGAAUCACGUGGCGUAAAGCGCACGUAGGCGGAUUGUUAAGUCAGGGGUGAAAUCCUGGAGCUCAACUCCAGAACUGCCUUUGAUACUGGCGAUCUUGAGUCCGGGAGAGGUGAGUGGAACUGCGAGUGUAGAGGUGAAAUUCGUAGAUAUUCGCAAGAACACCAGUGGCGAAGGCGGCUCACUGGCCCGGUACUGACGCUGAGGUGCGAAAGCGUGGGGAGCAACAGG
rnacentral:rRNA from 1 species